GAAGAAGUACCUUCUCUGGAAAAUCUCACCGUGACUGAGGCCGGCUGGGAUGGCCUCAGACUCAACUGGACUGCAGAUGACCUGGCCUAUGAGUACUUUGUUAUUCAGGUACAGGAAGCCAACAAGGUGGAGACUGCUCACAACUUCACAGUACUUGGUAACCUCCGGACUGCAGACAUCCCGGGCCUCAAGGCUGCCACUCCUUAUAGAGUUUCCAUUUAUGGGGUAGCUCGGGGCUAUAAAACACCCGUGCUCUCUGCUGAGACCUUCACAGGGAAAACUCCCAGUUUGGGAGAGGUGACUGUGGCUGAGGUGGGCUGGGAUGCCCUCAAGCUCAACUGGACUGCUCCAGAAGGAGCCUAUACGAACUUUUUCAUUCAGGUGCUAGAGGCUGACAUGACCCAGACUGUCCAGAACCUCACAGUCCCAGGAGGACUCAGGUCAGUGGACCUACCUGGGCUCAAAGCAGCCACCCGCUAUUACAUCACCGUUCGAGGGGUCACCCAGGACUUCAGCACAGCCCCUCUCUCUGUUGAGGUCUUGACAGAGGAGAUCCCUCAACUGGGAGGCUUGUCCGUGACUGAGGUCAGCUGGGACAGCCUUACACUCAACUGGACCACAGAUGAUCUGGCCUAUAAGCACUUUAUCAUUCAGGUGCAGGAGGCCAACAAUGUAGAGGCUGCUCAGAACCUCACAGUAUCUGGUAGCCUCAGAGUUGUGGACAUCCCAGGCCUCAAGGCUGAUACCCCUUAUAGAGUCUCCAUCUAUGGGGUGAUCCAGGGCUAUAGAACACCAAUGCUCUCUGCUGAUGUCUCCACAGCCAAAGAACCUGAAAUUGGAAACUUAAAUAUUUCUGAUGUAACUCCUGAGAGCUUCAAUCUCUCCUGGACAGCUACCGACGGGAUCUUCGACAUGUUUACUAUCGAAAUUAUUGAUUCUAAUAGGUUGCUGCAGACAGCAGAACAUAAUAUAUCUGGUGCUGAACGAACUGCCCACAUCUCGGGCCUUCCACCUAGUACUGAUUUCAUUGUCUACCUCUCUGGAAUUGCUCCCAGCAUCCGUACCAAAACCAUCAGUACCACAGCCACCACAGAAGCUGAACCGGAAGUUGACAACCUUCUAGUUUCAGAUGCUACUCCAGACGGUUUCCGUCUGUCCUGGACUGCUGAUGAAGGGAUAUUCGACAGUUUUGUUAUCAGGAUCAGAGAUACCAAAAAGCAAUCUGAACCACAAGAAAUAACCCUCCCUUCCCCCGACCGUACCAGGGACAUAACAGGUCUCAGAGAGGCCACUGAGUACGAAAUUGAACUCUAUGGAAUAAGCCGUGGAAGGCGAUCCCAGCCAGUCAGUGCCAUAGCAACAACA
rnacentral:misc_RNA from 1 species